rnacentral:lncRNA from 1 species
UUUUUUAUGCCCCACCUACGAUAGUAGAGGGGCAUUAUGUUUUCUGGUCUGUGCGUCCGUUCGUCCGUCUGUCUGUCUGUCUGUCUGUCUGUCUGUUCGUCCGUCUGUCCCGCUUCAGGUUAAAGUUUUUGGUCAAGGUAGUUUUUGAUGAAGUUGAAGUCCAAUCAACUUGAAACUUAGUACACAUGUUCCUUAUGAUAUGAUCUUUCUAAUUUUAAAGCCAAAUUAAACUUUUGACCCUAAUUUCAUGGUCCACUGAACAUAGAAAAUGACAGUGCAUGUUUCAGGUUAAAGUUUUUGGUCAAGGUAGUUUUUGAUGAAGUUGAAGUCCAAUCAACUUGAAACUUAGUACACAUGUUCUCUAUGAUAUUAUCUUUCUAAUUUUAAUGCCUAAUUAUAUUUUUUAUCCAAUUUCAUGGUCCAUUGAACAUGGAAAAUAAUAGUGCGAGUGGGGCAUCCGUGUACUUUGGAC